UCUCUCUUUUUUUCUCUCUCGACUAAAGGCGAUUGGCAUGCGAUUAACCUCAAAUCUGUAGAAAUUAAUCGAUUCACCAUCACCACUUUGUCUGUUCCCGAUAAGAAUGGAAGAGCUUGGUGAACCUUCGAAACAAACUGCGGUUCAUUGUGGUUGAGAUCCUCAUUUACUUCCGCUGAUGGUUGCUGCUAUAUCUGUCCCUGGACCUGAGAAUGUCCCUGGUUCUGCUCUGAACGAGGAGAGUAUGCAGGUUAGGAAAGGUAUCUAAGUUGCCUGGUGGAUUUUAGUUUGCAUUGUUUGCUUGGAAAUAUCCCAGCUCUGUGAUCUUAGUUCUCCUUGGCUCACGCGGCACAUCAUAGAUUCAUAGGAAACAGAGAUAUCAAGCCGCACAACGAUUGUCUGCAAACGAUUGCUCUGUUUUUGCUUUGGUUUGUUAUGUAUCAAGAGACCUGAUUAUUUUCCAAGAACUUGCCGGCGAAGUUACAAGUUCUUGUACACAAGAACUUGGUAAGAGUUUUGGGUUGGUGUAAUAGCAGAAGCUUGAGAGCUUUGGUUACAGAGUGGACUCAAGGAGAAACUGUUGAGACUUGGUUAAGUUCUUCAUCGGCUAUGUGAUGGAGAAGAAGGUUAAGAGUGGUUUUAGGAGUUGUAGAAGGUAUUUGUUAUCUAUCAGAUCAAUGGCCUGAGAUUACAUUUGAUCUCAGCACAAAAGUGUUUUGUUAUCUGAUGAUGAUCAAGAGCCUUUGAUUUUUCAUUUCAAAAUUGGAGAUGGGAACAAUUCAUCAACAAGUAAGGGCUCUCUUCUCCUGAGAAAAAGACCAUUUGAUCAGGUUAAGCAAGCCAUUAAGCUUGGGCUGAUGUGUACUGACAAACCACCAUUAUAGCAACCAACCUUGUUGCAGAUUUAUGACUUGGUGUUUUUUUUGUAUGAAUCUAGUUUAAGAUAUGACUGAGAGAGAUGAGAGUUUAAUCUUUAUUUGCUUUGUUUUCAGUUUUCAGACAUGUUUAAGAUAAUACUUACGAAGGUUUCAGUUUUAUAAUUGAGAACCUAGGAAGGUUUCUCUA